CGACUAUAGACAGACAGGGAGACCACCUCACACAACAUGCAGGAAACUCAGGAACAAGACGGCGAUGUGAAGUGUGAAGAGGCUCAGUGAUCCGGCAUUACAGGCACAUCGCAUCACAAGAAAUGUUGUGGAAAGAAGGAUUGGCCAGUGGAAGCUCAGGUUCCACGUUCUACACUCGGAAAUUCGGUACUCCCCUGGGAGAGUGUGCCGUAUCAUAAUGGCUUGUGCAAUACUGCAUAAUAUUUGCAAGAGGCACAACAUCCCACCCCCACCAGAGGAUGACAACGAUGGAGAAGCUGGAGAUGCCAGCCCCCCCCCGAGCAACAUCAAUUUAUGUGAUGGGGCAGCCUUCAGACAACACUUUGACACACUGCACUUUGGUGCUUGCAGCUCGCUUGGGAGCGGGUCCUCAUCCACCACUGGGCAUACCUGACUUGAGGUACAUGGGGGGACAACCAAAGCAGCGGAGGCAUAUGGAGAGCUCAUGUUUAGGCUGGCCGGGUCAAGCGACUCACCUGCAUCUUCAUUGUAACUGAAAAAUAAAAUGUCUGAAAUGUUGAAUAUUGUUGUCAUGGUUUUGAGUUA